UACGGAGGGGGCUAGCGUUGUUCGGAAUUACUGGGCGUAAAGCGCGCGUAGGCGGACCUGCAAGUCGGGGGUGAAAGCCCGAGGCUCAACCUCGGAACUGCCUUCGAUACUGCGGGUCUCGAGUCCGGGAGAGGCGAGUGGAAUUCCUGGUGUAGCGGUGAAAUGCGCAGAUAUCAGGAAGAACACCCGUGGCGAAGGCGGCUCUCUGGGACGGUACUGACGCUGAGACGCGAAAGCGUGGGGAGCGAACAGG
rnacentral:rRNA from 1 species